ACCCUUUUGAUGAUGUGAAACAUGGAUUUCCUAAAAUAUGAAAGGAAUGAUUUGUUCUACCGUUGUUAAUGGCUGAAGGCAAAUAAUCAGGAGACUGAAUUAACAAAACUACUACUACCUUCAUACUGCUGCGGCUGAAGGCUCUCCUGGGAGCUCACUGACUCAUAAGAAUGUUGCUCAUCCUUUUCAGCCCAUCUAGGAGAACAGCAUGUGCAGAGUUAAAUUCUCCCUUCAGUUUGAAAGAAAAGCCAGAAGCUCUCCAGCUGGCAGCAAAUUUCUAAACACGGGAGAAGAAGAGCAGUGCUUGCAGCUACUGAGUAUAUUGUGCACUGACGAUGUUCUGUGACUGGUCUGUUUUAAUAAAUGACAACUGGAACACAAGUAACAAAAUACCUACAAAGCAUGGCUUCACUGUGAUCAGAACAUUUUCCAGGUGUUCUGAUAAUUCAGGAGAAAAAGAAAAGCAAAUUUGAAAAACAAAAUGAGAUACCAUGCAGAAUUAGUAAUGUAUUAGACACAAAUCAUCUUGGUUUGUUUUCCUCUCUGGAUGACACCUUGGCAAUCUCUGGAGGCCUGAUGCUUGGAAGAGCUCUUCCAACAUGCAGUUUGUGUUGGACAAAAUGUGAGCUUGGUGCUCAGUGGGCAGAAAGCCCUGUGCAAUGAUGGGAAGUUCUGGCUGAGCUCCUUUGGAUACAAAACUCCUCCAGACUCAUUAAGUCGUGCAUGAUUGUGUGAGGGACUUACACAAAAGCCUGUGAGGUGCCUAUUGGCUGGAGACCAGCAAGUUCUGCAUUUUUCCUAGAGAGUCCUGGCUGGCUUUGGGCAAAAGGACGUCAGGAUGGAUUUGCCCUGGGGUCUCAUGCUGUCUGUGAAUGGUAUCCUGUGAGAGCCCCAUGAGAGCCCCGCCACAGGCUUACAAAAUGGCCACAGGACUCUCUGCAGCCUAGGAAGGGGAGGGCCUGCAGGAGCCAGCUGCUGCGUGUGGCACUCAAUCCUGGCUGCUGCCAGGGGUGAAGGGCUACGGGGAACAAUAGGGAAUGAAAUAUUAAUUUAAAUUGUGUUUGAUAAAUCUUUAAUAUGCCAAGACUGAUGCAUCGAAGGCUGAAGUUACUUUCAUUAGAAGACGGAAUUGUAGUAUUUCACAAAACGAAGCCAAAGCUGAGAUUUUGAAGAGCAUGGCUCUGUGCUCUGCUCCAGUGGCAGUGCUGUGAGUCACUCUUUUCAGUGAAUAAUAGCCCCGUGUUCCACUCUUGGGUGAUUUCACAAAAUUUACAUUAAUUUGUGAACACAGCUCUCUUGUACUGGAUAAGUUGCUUAUCAAGGUGACAUAAAGCCAUUGUAGCUUUGCACAAAAUCUGUGACAGUUGGAAGAUUUUCUAAUUUACCUAUUUUCAUUCCAAGAAAGCUAACUGUGGCAAAUCAAGAUGAAAUAUUGACCUCCCUGUGAAAAUAAACAUAAGUCUAUU
rnacentral:lncRNA from 7 species